rnacentral:rRNA from 1 species
AGGACGAACGCUGGCGGCGUGCUUAACACAUGCAAGUCGAGCGGAAAGGCCCUUCGGGGUACUCGAGCGGCGAACGGGUGAGUAACACGUGAGUAAUCUGCCCCUAGCUCUGGGAUAGCUCCGGGAAACCGGGAUUAAUACCGGAUACGACCACUUUAGACAUCUGUUGUGGUGGAAAGAAUUUUGGCUAGGGAUGAGCUCGCGGCCUAUCAGCUUGUUGGUGGGGUAACGGCCUACCAAGGCGACGACGGGUAGCCGGCCUGAGAGGGCGACCGGCCACACUGGGACUGAGACACGGCCCAGACUCCUACGGGAGGCAGCAGUGGGGAAUAUUGCGCAAUGGGCGAAAAGCCUGACGCAGCGACGCCGCGUGGGGGAUGAAGGCCUUCGGGUUGUAAACCCUUUCAGCAGGGACGAAGCGAAAGUGACGGUACCUGCAGAAGAAGCGCCGGCUAACUACGCGCCAGCAGCCGC